rnacentral:misc_RNA from 1 species
UUUCAUUGCAUUUGCAAUUUUGUAGACCAAGUUAUGAUAUUUUUGCCAAAACUGAUCGGGUAGGCCUAUGUCCAGUAAUUUCUGGACAAUAUGGUUCUGGAUAAUUUUUGUGUCCCAACUUGGGUCAGUAAUUUGGUUUGGUUAGAGGCAUUUUUGGGCUCUGUGUUCUUCAUGAGAAAUGUUCUCCUAUGUCUAAGCUUUCCAAUGGUAUAAAAUUCAGG